CACACCCACCGAGGGCGUUGUGAAUGAUUUUACUAAUCUGUGCCAUUUAACAGGUUAAAGGCUGCCCCUUCUCCCUGUGGUUUGGUUUAAAAGGCAUUUUUCUUUAUUUCUUUGUUUACUGCACAGGUGAUACAAUUUCAUGGUAGAAACCUCAGACAGGACAAGGAAAUCAGAUGAGGGAAAACCAAGAGAGUAUUUGCUCCCCAUGAUCUACCACCCAGAGAGAACCACUUUUACUUUUUUGGUUUAUGAAACGUCAUCUUCAGUGCCUGCAGAGUGCUCCAGUGUAUCCAUGGACCUUAACAUUUCUGUAAUCAUUCCGGCAUUGUUAGACAUUCAGGUGGUGCCUAGUUCUUUCCCUGUGUUUAAAACCAACACUGCGUGCUCUGAUGAGUGAAUCCUUCCUUGUCAAGCCAAAUCUUUGCUAUCAUCCUGGGUGGUCUCUUUAACUGUGGACUUGCAGGAUCUGCAUAGAGACAUUUUAAAGACUUUUCCUGUGUGUUGACAAAAGGACCCCUUCAUAAGCAUUGUACAGAUUUGCACUCGUGCCAACCAGCACAGCUAGUAAAAUGAGUAUGCCCAUUUCCCCUCCAUAGUCUCCUGUUCACUGUAAUCGAUGUGUGUGUGCGCGUGCACACGUGUGUUUGUGUGUGGGUGUGUUUGUGUGUGCGCGUGUGUGUCUUGGCCAGCUUGAUUCAAUGCAAAUGGUAGUAUUUCGCUGUUCUUGGUCCUUUGCUGGAAUUAAACACUGUUUAUCACCCCUUUCCUCUGUGCCCACUUCCUGUACUUUUCCCUGUUGUCAGAAAAACAAUGCAGCUUCACUACAGGAAAAAAAAUCACAAAGCAGACAAGUUAACAGAAGAAAACUAAUGCCACCAGUAAUCAGUCCUAAUGAUCAUUCAUACCUUCCUGAGACAUUUUUAUCCAUACCUGCGCAGUAUUUUCCAAGAACUACCUGAAACAUUUUUGGCUUCAGUAUUUUUCUUAUGCAUAUGUCAUAUCUGUGUAUUAUAAUGUACAUACUGUUUUUAUAUCUGCUUUUCACACAUAAAUGUGCGUGUAUACUUAUACACACACAUACUCUUGAACUUCAUUUCAUUUCAUUAAAGGUUCUUUUAAAAUGUU